rnacentral:tRNA from 1 species
GGAGAGAUGGCCGAGCGGUUCAAGGCGUAGCAUUGGAACUGCUAUGUAGACUUUUGUUUACC